rfam:Xiphophorus maculatus strain JP 163 A Contig436.38, whole genome shotgun sequence.
UUGGCAUUCAUGAAGGCGUGGCCUUAAAGCGGAUCUGCCGGGCUGUGCCGGAUGUCUCCGCCUC